GAUGAACGCUGGCGGCGUGCCUAAUACAUGCAAGUCGAGCGAACGAACGAGAAGCUUGCUUCUCUGAUGUUAGCGGCGGACGGGUGAGUAACACGUGGAUAACCUACCUAUAAGACUGGGAUAACUUCGGGAAACCGGAGCUAAUACCGGAUAAUAUUUUGAACCGCAUGGUUCAAAAGUGAAAGACGGUCUUGCUGUCACUUAUAGGUGGAUCCGCGCUGCAUUAGCUAGUUGGUAAGGUAACGGCUUACCAAGGCAACGAUGCAUAGCCGACCUGAGAGGGUGAUCGGCCACACUGGAACUGAGACACGGUCCAGACUCCUACGGGAGGCAGCAGUAGGGAAUCUUCCGCAAUGGGCGAAAGCCUGACGGAGCAACGCCGCGUGAGUGAUGAAGGUCUUCGGAUCGUAAAACUCUGUUAUUAGGGAAGAACAUAUGUGUAAGUAACUGUGCACAUCUUGACGGUACCUAAUCAGAAAGCCACGGCUAACUACGUG
rnacentral:rRNA from 1 species